AGCCGCGGUAAUUCCAGCUCCAAUAGCGUAUAUUAAAGUUGUUGCAGUUAAAAAGCUCGUAGUUGAAUUUCGGGAUCAAUUUAUUGGUCGUGCUAUUGUACGUACUGGUAUUAUUGAUUCCUACCUUCUGACGAACCAUGAUGUCAUUAAUUUGGUGUCAUGGGGAAUCAGGACUGUUACUUUGAAAAAAUUAGAGUGUUUAAAGCAGGCUCACGCUUGAAUACAUUAGCAUGGAAUAACGAAAUAGGACGUUUGAUUCUAUUUUGUUGGUUUCUAGGAUCGACGUAAUGAUUAAUAGGGAUAGUUGGGGGCAUUAGUAUUCAAUUGUCAGAGGUGAAAUUCUUGGAUUUAUUGAAGACUAACUACUGCGAAAGCAUUUGCCAAGGAUGUUUUCAUUAAUCAAGAACGAAAGUUAGGGGAUCGAAGACGAUCAGAUACCGUCGUAGUCUUAACCAUAAACUAUGCCGACUAGGGAUCGGAUGAUGUUAAUUUUUUAAUGACUCAUUCGGCGCCUUACG
rnacentral:misc_RNA from 1 species